rnacentral:rRNA from 1 species
UCGGGAAUUUUGGGCAAUGGGCGCAAGCCUGACCCAGCCACGCCGCGUGAGUGAUGAAGGCCUUCGGGUCGUAAAGCUCUGUGGGGAAGGACGAAAAAACAUUGGCUAAUAUCCAAUGGCUUGACGGUACUUCCUUAGCAAGCACCGGCUAACUCUGUGCCAGCAGCCGCGGUAAUACAGAGGGUGCAAACGUUGCUCGGAAUCAUUGGGCGUAAAGCGCACGUAGGCGGCCUGAUAAGUCGGUAGUGAAAGCCCUCGGCUUAACCGAGGAAGUGCUAUCGAAACUGCCAGGCUUGAGUACCGGAGAGGAUCGCGGAAUUCCCGGUGUAGAGGUGAAAUUCGUAGAUAUCGGGAGGAACACCAGUGGCGAAGGCGGCGAUCUGGACGGAUACUGACGCUGAGGUGCGAAAGCGUGGGGAGCAAACAGGAUUAGAUACCCUUGUAGUCCCUGAGCGGGCUGGCAAGGCGCAU